CCUACGGGAGGCAGCAGUGAGGAAUAUUGGUCGAUGGACGAGAGUCUGAACCAGCCAAGUAGCGUGAAGGAUGACUGCCCUAUGGGUUGUAAACUUCUUUUAUAUGGGAAUAAAAUGUUCCACGUGUGGGAUUUUGUAUGUACCAUAUGAAUAAGGAUCGGCUAACUCCGUGCCAGCAGCCGCGGUAAUACGGAGGAUCCGAGCGUUAUCCGGAUUUAUUGGGUUUAAAGGGAGCGUAGGUGGAUUGUUAAGUCAGUUGUGAAAGUUUGCGGCUCAACCGUAAAAUUGCAGUUGAAACUGGCAGUCUUGAGUACAGUAGAGGUGGGCGGAAUUCGUGGUGUAGCGGUGAAAUGCUUAGAUAUCACGAAGAACUCCGAUUGCGAAGGCAGUUCACUGGACUGCAACUGACACUGAGGCUCGAAAGUGUGGGUAUCAAACAGGAUUAGAUACCCCUGUAGUC
rnacentral:rRNA from 1 species